rnacentral:rRNA from 1 species
UGGGGAAUAUUGCACAAUGGAGGGAACUCUGAUGCAGCGACGCCGCGUGAGUGAUGAAGGUUUUCGGAUCGUAAACCACUGUCAGAAGGGAAGAAAUCGCACUUUGCUAAUCAGCAGUGCCUUGACGGUACCUUCAAAGGAAGCACCGGCUAACUACGUGCCAGCAGCCGCGGUAAUACGGAGGGUGCAAGCGUUAAUCGGAAUUACUGGGCGUAAAGCGCACGUAGGCUGCUGUGUAAGUCAGAGGUGAAAUCCCACGGCUCAACCGUGGAACUGCCUUGGUUACUGCUUAGCUUGAAUCCGGCAGAGGGUGGCAGAAUUCCACGUGUAGGAGUGAAAUGCGUAGAUAUCUGGAGGAAUAUCAGUGGCGAAGGCGGCCUCCUGGAAUAAUAUUGACGCUGAGGUGCGAAAGCGUGGGGAGCAAACAGG